UGAGGAAUAUUGCGCAAUGGGGGAAACCCUGACGCAGCAACGCCGCGUGAGUGAGGAAGGUUUUCGGACCGUAAAGCUCUGUCGAGCGGGAAGAAAUGCAUGGUGGCUAAUAUCCAUCAUGCUUGACGGUACCGCUAAAGGAAGCACCGGCUAACUCCGUGCCAGCAGCCGCGGUAAUACGGGGGGUGCGAGCGUUGUUCGGAAUUAUUGGGCGUAAAGAGCGUGUAGGCGGCUGAAUAAGUCAGAUGUGAAAUCCCUGGGCUUAACCCAGGACGUGCAUUUGAAACUAUUCGGCUAGAGUAGGGGAGAGGAAAGUGGAAUUCCUGGUGUAGAGGUGAAAUUCGUAGAUAUCAGGAGGAACACCGGUGGCGAAGGCGACUUUCUGGCCCUAUACUGACGCUGAGACGCGAGAGCGUGGGUAGCAAACA
rnacentral:rRNA from 1 species